UCCGGCGAAAUCCAUGAUCCUAUGCUGCCGAGAAAAGCCUCUAGCGAGCUGGUACAUGGCCCGUACCCCAAACCGACACAGGUGGUCAGGUAGAGAAUACUAAGGCGAUCGAGAGAACUGUGGUUAAGGAACUCGGCAAAAUGCCCCCGUAACUUCGGGAGAAGGGGGACCAGUCCUGGUGACGACAUUUACUGUCUGAGCUGGGGUUGGUCGCAGAGACCAGAGAGAAGCGACUGUUUACUAAAAACACAGGUCCGUGCGAAGUCGUAAGACGAUGUAUACGGACUGACGCCUGCCCGGUGCUGGAAGGUUAAGAGGACCGGUCAGCCACUUCGGUGGCGAAGCUGAGAAUUUAAGCCCCAGUAAACGGCGGUGGUAACUAUAACCAUCCUAAGGUAGCGAAAUUCCUUGUCGGGUAAGUUCCGACCUGCACGAAUGGCGUAACGACUUCUCUGCUGUCUCAACCACAGACUCGGCGAAAUUGCAGUACGAGUAAAGAUGCUCGUUACGCGCGGCAGGACGAAAAGACCCCGGGACCUUCACUAUAGCUUGGUAUUGGUGUUCGGUUCGGUUUGUGUAGGAUAGGUGGGAGACUGUGAAACUCGCACGCCAGUGUGGGUGGAGUCAUUGUUGAAAUACCACUCUGACCGUAUUGGACAUCUAACCUCGGACCAUGAUCUGGUUCAGGGACAGUGCCUGGUGGGUAGUUUAACUGGGGCGGUUGCCUCCUAAAAAGUAACGGAGGCGCCCAAAGGUUCCCUCAGCCUGGUUGGCAAUCAGGUGUUGAGUGUAAGUGCACAAGGGAGCUUGACUGUGAGACGUACAUGUCGAGCAGGGACGAAAGUCGGGACUAGUGAUCCGGCACCGGCAAGUGGAAGCGGUGUCGCUCAACGGAUAAAAGGUACCCCGGGGAUAACAGGCUGAUCUUCCCCAAGAGUCCAUAUCGACGGGAUGGUUUGGCACCUCGAUGUCGGCUCGUCGCAUCCUGGGGCUGGAGUAGGUCCCAAGGGUUGGGCUGUUCGCCCAUUAAAGCGGCACGCGAGCUGGGUUUAGAACGUCGUGAGACAGUUCGGUCUCUAUCCGCCGCGCGCGUAAGAAACUUGAGGAAACCUGUCCCUAGUACGAGAGGACCGGGACGGACGAACCUCUGGUGUGCCAGUUGUUCCACCAGGAGCACCGCUGGUUAGCUACGUCCGGAAGGGAUAACCGCUGAAAGCAUCUAAGCGGGAAGCCUGUUCCAAGAUGAGGUUUCUCACCACCUAGCGUGGUUAAGGCCCCCCACAGACCAUGGGGUUGAUAGGCCAGAACUGUAAGCACAGCAAUGUGUUCAGGUGACUGGUACUAAUCGGCCGAGGACUC
rnacentral:rRNA from 1 species